rnacentral:rRNA from 1 species
UACGUAGGGGGCUAGCGUUGCUCGGAAUUACUGGGCGUAAAGCGCACGUAGGCGGUCUUUUAAGUCGGGGGUGAAAUCCUGGAGCUCAACUCCAGAACUGCCUUCGAUACUGGAAGACUCGAGUCCGGGAGAGGUGAGUGGAACUGCGAGUGUAGAGGUGAAAUUCGUAGAUAUUCGCAAGAACACCAGUGGCGAAGGCGGCUCACUGGCCCGGUACUGACGCUGAGGUGCGAAAGCGUGGGGAGCAAACAGG